UUGCAUUCCUGUCUUUCAGGGCUAUCUUUUAUCCGUCUUGAAACUCCGAUGAACAACAUCACCACCUCUCUGGGCCAAACAGCUGAACUGUUCUGUCGCGUGUCGGGCAACCCACCACCGACAGUACGCUGGCUAAAGAAUGACGCGCCUGUGGUACAGGAGCCACGACGGGUUUCGUUCCGGUCCACACCAUAUGGGUCGCGUCUUCGCAUUCGCAAUCUGGACACCACAGACACUGGCUACUUCCAGUGUGUAGCUACCAACACCCAGGGCACAGUGUCGACCACAGGCGUGCUCUUCGUCAAAUUUGAUCCGCUGCCUACGCCUCUAGCGGGACGGCCGACGUAAGUAGCUGAAUCUGCAUGUCCGU